GACGAAGGUGGCGAGCGUUGUUCGGAAUCACUGGGCUUAAAGAGCACGUAGGUGGCCCGUUAAGCGCUUUGUGAAAUCCCCCGGCCUAACCGGGGAAUCGCUUGGCGUACUGGCGGGCUUGAGGCAGGUAUGGGUGCGUGGAACUCUUGGUGGAGCGGUGAAAUGCGUAGAUAUCAAGAGGAACGCCGGAGGCGCAAGCGAUGCACUGGGCCUGUCCUGACACUGAGGUGCGAAAGCCAGGGGAG
rnacentral:rRNA from 1 species